GUACACACAUUAGCAGUACAUUCACUAAAACUGGAACAACACAGAGAUUAAUUAGCAUAGACCCUGCACAAGGAUGAUACACAAAUUCAUGAAGUGUUCUAUAUUUUU